UGGGUGAGUAACGCGUGGGUAACCUGCCCUUAAGUCUGGGAUACCAUUUGGAAACAGAUGCUAAUACCGGAUAAAAGCUACUUUCGCAUGAAAGAAGUUUAAAAGGCGGCGUAAGCUGUCGCUAAAGGAUGGACCUGCGAUGCAUUAGCUAGUUGGUAAGGUAACGGCUUACCAAGGCGAUGAUGCAUAGCCGAGUUGAGAGACUGAUCGGCCACAUUGGGACUGAGACACGGCCCAACUCCUACGGGAGGCAGCAGGG
rnacentral:rRNA from 1 species